rnacentral:rRNA from 1 species
UACGGGGGGGGCAAGCGUUGUUCGGAAUUACUGGGUGUAAAGGGUUCGUAGGCGGUGUGGCAAGUCGGGAGUGAAAUCUCUGGGCUCAACUCAGAGACUGCUUCCGAAACUGCUGUGCUGGAGUGUGGGAGAGGCGCGUGGAAUUGCAGGUGUAGCGGUGAAAUGCGUAGAUAUCUGCAGGAACACCCGUGGCGAAAGCGGCGCGCUGGACCACUACUGACACUGAGGAACGAAAGCUAGGGGAGCAAACAGG